CCAUACUCUAAAUGAUUCACUGAGUUUGGUCUGCCUUCGAGGAGAGAGAUUACACUCUACCUCCCAAAAAGAGAGUAUCUACAUGUAUUAUUUGAGACUUUUCUAAAAAGAAAGUGACCCUUAGCAUGGUCAAGCAACUUUCCCAGGAUAACAUGGCUACUGGACAAUGGAGCAAGAUUUUGGCCUGACCUCCCACACUAUUAACCACUCUGCCACGGGAGCAGGAAAAUGGGUACUCCACUCACAUGCUGUGCUCUAAGCAUAUUAGUUGGUAGACUCUUUCUGGAAGGCUUUGACUCCAACCUCUGAAAAUGCUUCAAUUCAAUGAAGCUAAUGGCACUUUGGUCUCCGGCAUUAGAUCCUGUUAUCAAUGACUUCCACAUGGAAAGAUUAUUCCAAAAUGUGUGAUUAACCAAGAAAAUGCAAAUAAACCAAUUUGUACCUGCUAUUUAGAGAUUAUGCACAUUUACUAAAUUAGAAUGCUUUCUUGGGCUUCCCUAGUGGCUCCGUGGUUGAGGGUCUGCCUGCCGAUUCAGGGGACACGGGUUCAUGCCCCGGUCCGGGA